rnacentral:rRNA from 1 species
AAGCACCGGCUAACUACGUGCCAGCAGCCGCGGUAAUACGUAGGGUGCAAGCGUUGUCCGGAAUUAUUGGGCGUAAAGAGCUCGUAGGCGGUUUGUCGCGUCUGCUGUGAAAAUCCAAGGCUCAACCUUGGACCUGCAGUGGGUACGGGCAGACUAGAGUGCGGUAGGGGAGAUGGGAAUUCCUGGUGUAGCGGUGGAAUGCGCAGAUAUCAGGAGGAACACCAAUGGCGAAGGCACAUCUCUGGGCCGUAACUGACGCUGAGGAGCGAAAGCGUGGGGAGCGAACAGGAUUAGAUACCCUGGUAGUCCACGCCGUAAACGGUGGGUGCUAGUUGUGGGCCACAUUCCACGUGGUCCGUGACGAAGUUAACACAUUAAGCACCCCGCCUGGGGAGUACGGUCGCAAGACUAAAACUCAAAGGAAUUGACGGA